AAGGUUCCGGGGCUUCUCCCCGUUUUUCCAGCGACGGGAGAAG
rnacentral:tRNA from 1 species